rnacentral:rRNA from 1 species
UCAUUACAGAGUUCAUGCCCGAAAGGGUAGACCUCCCACCCCUUGUGUAUUAUUACUUUGUUGCUUUGGCGAGCUGCCUUCGGGCCUUGUAUGCUCGCCAGAGAAUACCAAAACUCUUUUUAUUAAUGUCGUCUGAGUACUAUAUAAUAGUUAAAACUUUCAACAACGGAUCUCUUGGUUCUGGCAUCGAUGAAGAACGCAGCGAAAUGCGAUAAGUAAUGUGAAUUGCAGAAUUCAGUGAAUCAUCGAAUCUUUGAACGCACAUUGCGCCCCUUGGUAUUCCGGGGGGCAUGCCUGUUCGAGCGUCAUUUCAACCCUCAAGCUUAGCUUGGUAUUGAGUCUAUGUCAGUAAUGGCAGGCUCUAAAAUCAGUGGCGGCGCCGCUGGGUCCUGAACGUAGUAAUAUCUCUCGUUACAGGUUCUCGGUGUGCUUCUGCCAAAACCCAAAUUUUUCUAUGGGUGACCUCGGAUCAGGUAGGGA